UACAGGUGUUCUGUAACUAAUAGGAAGGAGGACCGGAAGCUCCCAGGACUAUUUUCAACUGCGACACACCUGAGCAGAGUGAAGGAGGGACCGUGUCUCCGGGAGGUCAGAGUUAGACCGCCCACAUAUCCUCAGCUGCUUGUGUGGAGGUCAGAGGUCAGAGAAUGAGAUUCUUCAUCAGUGACAUCGAUCAGGAGUUUCCAGGUGUGCUUCAGAUACUUCCAGGGAUUUUGUUUAGGUGUCACUGUGGCAUUUGAAGGAACGAGUGGGUAAUUUCCAAGGGGCUCCAGGGGAUCAAGGAGCUCUCAGUGAGGGAAUAUGAGCGAGAUUCCAGGAGUUUUCAGGAUUACUGGAGCAGAUUCCAGGGUCUUGGAGGAGGUUUCAAGGAGUGGAAUCAGAAACAACAACACAAUAAAAUAAAAUAAAGUGAAAUUAGAUUAAAUUGAUUUGGAAAAGGAAAUAAAAAUAAUUAAAAUGAUUAAAAACAAGACCUGGAAAACUGAUAGCAACAUUCAAUACAAUAAAAAUAACGUCAUUUUUUCUCUUUAGUCUGUUUGUGUUCGUUUUAUUUGUUGCAUCAGUUUAAUUAGUUUUUUCUUAGAGCAGAUUAUUACAGGCUAAUGAUUGAAAAUGAUAAAAUAAUAUUCAGAAUUAUAAUUUUUUCUGAGACGGACCCGAGGAGCCUGUUGCCGCCUGGUUUUUCUAAUCCGGACCCCGUCUUCAUCUUCAUCAUCUUCCCUCUUCUUCAUCAUCGCCAACAUGUUUGCAGCGU